rnacentral:rRNA from 1 species
UACGGGGGGGGCAAGCGUUGUUCGGAAUUACUGGGCGUAAAGGGCUCGUAGGCGGCCAACUAAGUCAGACGUGAAAUCCCUCGGCUUAACCGGGGAACUGCGUCUGAUACUGGUUGGCUUGAGUGUGGGAGAGGGAUGCGGAAUUCCAGGUGUAGCGGUGAAAUGCGUAGAUAUCUGGAGGAACACCGGUGGCGAAGGCGGCAUCCUGGACCAUUACUGACGCUGAGGAGCGAAAGCCAGGGGAGCAAACGGG